UACGUAGGGUGCAAGCGUUGUCCGGAAUUAUUGGGCGUAAAGGGCUCGUAGGCGGUCCAUCGCGUCGGGAGUGAAAAGCUGGGGCUCAACCCCAGUCCUGCUUCCGAUACGGGUGGACUAGAGGUAUGCAGGGGAGAACGGAAUUCCUGGUGUAGCGGUGGAAUGCGCAGAUAUCAGGAGGAACACCAAUAGCGAAGGCAGCUCGCUGGGACGUUACUGACACUGAGGCGCGAAAGCGUGGGGAGCGAACAGG
rnacentral:rRNA from 1 species